AAUAGGCUGAUUAAGAGCGUAAGGGGAAUGCCUUGGCUCUCAGAGGCGAUGAAGGACGUGAUAAGCUGCGAUAAGCUUUGGGGAGUGGCACAAACACUUUGAUCCGAAGAUUUCCGAAUGGGGCAACCCGGCAUAUUGAAGAUAUGUCACACUGUAAAGUGAGCAAACCUGGUGAACUGAAACAUCUAAGUAACCAGAGGAAUAGAAAACAAAAGUGAUUCCGCUAGUAGUGGCGAGCGAACGUGGAACAGCCCAAACCUAUGUUGUUACGGCAAUAUAGGGGUUGUA
rnacentral:rRNA from 1 species